rnacentral:rRNA from 1 species
UGGGGAAUUUUGGACAAUGGGCGAAACCCUGAUCCAGCCAUGCCGCGUGCGUGAAGAAGGCCUUAGGGUUGUAAAGCGCUUUCGGCGGGGAAGAUGAUGACGGUACCCGCAGAAGAAGCCCCGGCUAACUCCGUGCCAGCAGCCGCGGUAAUACGGAGGGGGCUAGCGUUGUUCGGAAUUACUGGGCGUAAAGGGCGCGUAGGCGGUCUUGUCGGUCAGAUGUGAAAGCCCGGGGCUCAACCCUGGAAGUGCAUUUGAAACAGCAAGACUUGAGUACGGGAGAGGAAAGCGGAAUUCCUGGUGUAGAGGUGAAAUUCGUAGAUAUCAGGAGGAACACCGAUGGCGAAGGCAGCUUUCUGGACCGAUACUGACGCUGAGGCGCGAAGGUGUGGGUAGCGAACGGGAUUAGAUACCCCGGUAGUCCACACAGUAAACGAUGUUCACUAGGUGUAUCGGGUAUUAAAAUCUGAUGUGCCCAAGCUAACGCAUUAAGUGAACCGCCUGGGGAGUACGGUCGCAAGACUA